CUCUUUGUGCUUGGGGCAAUGAUGCAGCUAGUGAGGUAAUAACCAAGGAGCGUUUAUUGCUGGCUGGUUGAAAACUAUUUCCAAACCCCCUCUCUGGCCUUGGUUCACCCUUGGCCUUUGAGAAUUUCUGGAAGGACUCCCUUCUGGGUAAAGUC